UACGUAAGGGGCUAGCGUUGUCCGGAUUUAUUGGGCGUAAAGAGCGUGUAGGCGGCCAGGUAGGUCUGGUGUGAAAACUCGAGGCUUAACCUCGAGAUGUCAUCGGAAACCAUCUGGCUAGAGUCCGGAAGAGGAAAGUGGAAUUCCUGGUGUAGCGGUGAAAUGCGCAGAUAUCAGGAAGAACACCAAUGGCGAAAGCAGCCUUCUGGGACGGUACUGACGCUGAGACGCGAAAGCGUGGGGAGCGAACAGG
rnacentral:rRNA from 1 species